GAGGGUGUUGUGGUAUUGGUUUUGAUAAAACUUCACAACCAAUGGGAAUCUUUUUCGAGUUAGUGUGGAGUGGCCUUAAGGCUGGAAGUAAUCCUGUUGGCCAGGACCCCAGAGCCAUACAGAUGAGAAAGGGAUGCAGGAAAUUCUGUUGUUUACACGUGUCUGUAACACUGAGCCGCUAAAGCAGCCCAGCAAGCCCAGAGGGUCUGAAAAGAUAAAUAUGAAUUUAGAAUCCAUUUAUCGGUUAAUUGAGGAAACACAAAUCUUCGGGAUGCAGCAGUCAGCAGUUAAACCACCUCCCGACAUGGGAGCACCUGCCUCGGUCCCUAGGGAUACCUUUAAUUCCUGUUGGCCACUUAAUGGGCUACAGUCUCAUGCUGCCCACAGCUUCUGUGCUCACGCGUGCAACACCAAUGAAUGGGAUAUUUGUGAAGAGCUGCGCCUGCGGGAACUUGAAGAAGUCAAGGCCAGAGCUGCUCAGAUGGAGAAGACCAUGCGGUGGUGGUCAGACUGCACAGCCAACUGGAGGGAAAAGUGGAGUAAAGUUCGAGCUGAAAGGAACAGUGCCAGGGAGGAAGGAAGACAACUCAGAAUGAAAUUAGAGAUGACAGUGAAAGAAUUGAGUGCACUGAAAAAGAAGCAAAGUCCACCACAUCAAAAGGAGACCUUGGAAGCUAGAGUUGCCCUGAACCAGACGCGUCCUAGUUUCACAGAUGUGUCCUAUGUACAAAGGGAUCAAUUUCAAACUGGCUCGCAAAUGUGUGAGUCUAUCAGAGAGUGUCUGGUGAAAAGAGAAUUUCCCACAAAGGAGAACAGAAAUACUAUGGAAGAAAGUUUGAUUUUCGACCCAUUAAGAUUAAAUGAGGAGAAACUCCAUCUAGACUGCUCUGAUUUAUUCGAGAACAGUGGUUCCGGAAACGGUGCAAUGAGACCUGGGCUACGACAGCCAGCGGGACACCUGCCUUUGGAGUAUGGAGUGCCUGAAAUUUCCACUUUGCAGGAGCAUUUGGAUGAGCUCCAAAAAAUCCUUAGGAAAGAAAGGGAAAGGCGCUCAUCCCUGGAAAAAGAAGUAGAACGACUGGAGUCAGCUGUGUCUUUGUGGAAACAGAAGUAUGAAGAACUGAAGGAAUCGACAUCCAAAAAUAGGAAAGAGCUAGAAAGAUUGCAGGUGGAAAAUACAGUGGAAUGGGGCCAGAGGGAAAUAUUUGAAACUGAAAAACAAGGACUGGAUAGAGAAAAUAGAAGGCUAAAGGUCCAGGUGAAAGAAAUGGAUGAACUCCUCAAGAGGAAAGAUAGAUUAAGUGCAAACUCCCAAGAUCCUGAUUUCAAGACAUCACAAAUUGAACUGCAGGAGACAAACAAGGAGCUGCUGGACCUUCAACACGCCUACUAUAGACUCAGCAGCCAACACCAGGCAAAAACAGCAGAGCUGACUCUUGCCAACCACCGAGCCGAUCAGAGUGCGGCUGAGGUAAAGAAACUGCAAUUUGGAGUGGAAGAACUAAAACAGAGACUCAACCAAAAAGAAAAUAAGCUUGAUGACGUCCUGAAUCAGAUCCAUAAGCUCCAGAAAUCUCUGGAUGAACAGAAAGAAGUCAAUGAAAACUUGGAAACUGAACUCAGGCACUUACAGAACAGUUUAUGUCCUACUCCAAGUGAUCAUUGAAGGGAGAUUGCUGAGGACACAUAGAGCUGGAGGCUCACCUGAUUCUUGUUGACUCACUGCUUCCUGAUUUCUUCCAGGCAUCGCCUCAGAGCCACCUGGACUUGUGAUGAUGACUAAGGCAAUGAGACUGUCAUCCUGUGAAGUUUAGAAAUGAAAUACAAAGGCUUACAUACUGUUCAUUUUGUGAUUGCCACCCUGGCUGUUGUUGUCUGCCCUAUGGAAUAGCAACCUUCCCAGCCUUACCAUUUGUAGAUCCUGAUUGUCAAAUAAUGUCAUUCUUCUAUGCAAAGAUUUUCCUCUUUCCAGAUAGCCUAAGCAUUUUGGUGAAGUUAUGGUUAAUUACAUAUUGAGUUUUUCCUAUCUGUAUGUCUCAUGAUUUAUAUUCGUGUCUCAAAAAUUAACUUUAUUGUUACUAUUGGAUCGCAUUUUCUAUCCUAUUUUUUGUAAAGUACCAUGAUUCUAUCACAUUCAAUUAUUUCAAUCAUCUUUUUCUGCUCAGUGUCCUAUUUCAUAUGGCAUGUCACAUUUAUAAACUAUUUAAAUGAU